rnacentral:misc_RNA from 1 species
GAUGAAGAACGCAGCGAAAUGCGAUAAGUAAUGUGAAUUGCAGAAUUCAGUGAAUCAUCGAAUCUUUGAACGCACCUUGCACCCUUUGGACUGCUCCAAAGGGUAUGCUCGUUUGAGUGUCAUUGUACUCUCACACUCUCUGAUCCUUUGGAUUUGGGGAGCAGUGGACUUGGGUGCUUGCAGCUUCCUUGUGGCUCACCUGAAAUGCAUCAGUGCAUCUCUCGAUUGGACAUAGUACGGCGUGAUAAGUGUCUUCGCCGGCACCUCAUAUGAGGGUGGCCGAUCGGGAGCUCUGUGCUUUCAAACCGUCUUCGGACAACGCUGACAACUUGACCUCAAAUCGAGUAGGACUACCCGCUGAACUUAAGCAUAUCAAUAAGCGGAGG